GCCUUUGAAGAUGAGGUAGAUGAUCUGCUACUGCGAGAUUUGGAGUUCAAAUUGGAGCUAAAGGAGAAGUUCACUUGAGUCAUUUUUUUGGAGCUUAUGAAUUAGAUGAUGAGCCAGAUUGGAGGGUUUUGCUUCUCUAUGAUUUCAGGAUUCUUUUUCUUCACGCAUUCAUGGAUGUUUAUUCUCAGAAAGCAGAAGCUCAGAAUUCAGCUGAACA